UUGUAAUAUGUGAAGUCUUGCUUGAGAAUGCUCUGGGCACCUGACUAUGGAAGGUAGAAUGGAAAUUGCAACAACAAAAUUCUAACUCUAAUAAAAUACCAACUAAAUUCUAAUUAGACCAUAACAAUGCUAAGCAAGUUUUAAUCAAAUUCAAAGAAACCUCAAAAGAAUUACAAAGAAACAACAAGAAAUCUUAAAGAAAUAUUAGAAUCAUCACAAAUAUCUCAAAUAUAUUUCAAUUCAAUCUUAAUUUAAUCUUAGUUAAAAUCCUAUUGGACUUCAUUCAAAUUUUAGGCCAAAAACUAAUUAAAUCUAAAAUCCUAAAUAAAUCCUAAUAAAAUCCUAAAUCCUAAACCAAACCCUAAUCAAAUCCUAAAUCCUAAAUUUAAAUCAAAUCUUAAUCAAAUUCUAACCCUAAAUCAAAUCCUAAAUCCUAAAUUUAAAUCAAAUCCUAAUCAAAUUCUAAUCCUAAAUCAAAUCCUAAAUCUUAAAUUUAAAUCAAAUCCUAAACUCUAAAUUUAAAUCAAAUGCUAAUCAAAUUCUAAUCCUAAAUCAAAUCUUAAAUCCUAUAUCAAAUCUUAACCAAAUUUUAAAUCCUACACUAAAUUCUAAACCCUAAAUCAAGCCCUAAUCAAACUCUAACCAAAUCCUAAA
rnacentral:lncRNA from 1 species